rnacentral:Y_RNA from 1 species
GGCUGGUCCAAAGGUAACGCGUUAUCUCACUUGAUUGUUAACAGUCAGUUACAGAUUGAACUCCUUGUUCUACUAUUUUCCCCUCCUUCUCACUACUACACUUGAUUAGUCUUAA